GGAGAGGUGCCAGAGUGGUCGAUUGGGGCGGUCUCGAAAACCGUUGUGCCUUACGGGUACCGUGGGUUCGAAUCCCACCCUCUCCG
rnacentral:tRNA from 1 species